CGGAGGGUGCAAGCGUUAUCCGGAUUUAUUGGGUUUAAAGGGUCCGUAGGCGGAUCUGUAAGUCAGUGGUGAAAUCUCACAGCUUAACUGUGAAACUGCCAUUGAUACUGCAGGUCUUGAGUAAGGUAGAAGUAGCUGGAAUAAGUAGUGUAGCGGUGAAAUGCAUAGAUAUUACUUAGAACACCAAUUGCGAAGGCAGGUUACUAUGUCUUAACUGACGCUGAUGGACGAAAGCGUGGGGAGCGAACAGGA
rnacentral:rRNA from 1 species